CAGCAGCCGCGGUAAUACGUAGGUGGCAAGCGUUGUCCGGAAUUAUUGGGCGUAAAGGGCUCGCAGGCGGUUUCUUAAGUCUGAUGUGAGAGCCCCCGGCUCAACCGGGGAGGGCCAUUGGAAACUGGGAAACUUGAGUGCAGAAGAGGAGAGUGGAAUUCCACGUGUAGCGGUGAAAUGCGUAGAGAUGUGGAGGAACACCAGUGGCGAAGGCGACUCUCUGGUCUGUAACUGACGCUGAGGAGCGAAAGCGUGGGGAGCGAACAGGAUUAGAUACCCCCGUAGUCCCUGUCUCUUAUAC
rnacentral:rRNA from 1 species